rnacentral:rRNA from 1 species
GAUGAACGCUGGCGGCGUGCCUAAUACAUGCAAGUCGAGCGAACAGAUGAGGAGCUUGCUCCUUUGACGUUAGCGGCGGACGGGUGAGUAACACGUGGAUAACCUACCUAUAUGACUGGGAAAACUUCGGGAAACCGGAGCUAAUACCGGAUAAUAUACUGAACCGCAUGGUUCAAUAGUGAAAGACGGUGUUGCUGUAUCGUAUAGAUGGAUCCGCGCUGCGUUAGCUAGUUGGUAAGUUAACGGCUUACCAAGGCAACGAUGCGUUGCCGACGUGUGAGGGGGGUCGGCCACACUAGAACUGGGACGCCGACCAGACUCCUACGGGACGCAGCAGUAUGGAACCUUCCGCAGUGGGCGAAAACCUUACGGAACAGCGCCGCGUGAGUGAUGACAGUCUUCGGAUCGUAAAACUCUGUUAUUAGGGAAGAACAGAUGUGGAAGGAACUAUACACGUCUUGACGGUACCUAGUCAGAAAGCCACGGCUAACUACGUG